AUUGAACGCUGGCGGCAGGCCUAACACAUGCAAGUCGAACGAGUGGCGGACGGGUGAGUAAUGUCUGGGAAACUGCCUGAUGGAGGGGGAUAACUACUGGAAACGGUCGCUAAUCCCGCAUACCAUCGGAUGUGCCCAGAUGGGAUUGGCUAGUGGGUGGGGUAAUGGCUCACCUAGGCGACGAUCCCUAGCUGGUCGGAGAGGAUGACCAGCCACACGGGAACUGGGACACGGUCCGGACGCCUAGGGGAGGCAGCAGGGGGGAAUAUUGCACAAGGGGCGCAAGCCUGAUGCAGCCAUGCCGCGUGGAUGAAGAAGGCCUUCGGGUUGUAAAGUGCUUUCAGCGGGGAGGCGUUACCGGCAGAAGAAGCACCGGCUAACUCCGUGCCAGCAGCCGCGGUAAUAC
rnacentral:rRNA from 1 species